AGUCGAGGUCCAAGCGACAAUGUUGUGGACCGACUUAGCCAGGACACUUUGUUGCCUGGAGAGUGUUUGCUGGUAUAUCAGCCUCCUGUACCUACCUAACUUAACCAACCUACCCAAGCAUAACCUAACUCAACCUAACCUAUCCAAACCUAACUUAAUAUAACCUCUAGGCAACAAAAUAUCUUGGAUUCGUCGCUCCACAACAUUGUCGCUCGGAUCGUCGACUUCCUAUGGCCUCUCAUGCCACUUUAGUUUCGUCUAUUUUUGUUCUAAUCUUAUCUUUUUCGUGGUAACAAUAAGUUUUUUCGUGUUCUAUAUUCAGCACCAACAUUAUAGUGAAAAUUGAUCGUGUGAUGGUGUGUGUGGAUGAAGACGACGACCUCGAUGGAACUGCUGGUCAUGAAUGGGGGGAGAGUGACUACUGAUUGAUGUGGGCAAGAAAGUAUUAUUUGUAAAUAUAUAAUUAGGUACAGUACCUUCAAGUGUUGAUAAAUAUUUAUGGUGGAUAAGAGUAUUACUAAAAAUGUAAGAGAAGUGUUAUACAGUAUGUAUCAGGACUUUGUGACCUGUGUCGUGAUGACACAGGCAAAGACGACAUAAUGUAGGUGAACUAAUUAUUCUGCAGGUACAUAAUAUAGACAAGGCAGAGUCUUAGGUAAUUGUGGGGAUAGCUGAUGAAAUUUGCUUGUCAGUACUUAACCUUGUUUGUAAGAGUACAUAAGCCCAGUUUUUGUUCAAAGUAUACAACAUUUAUGUAUUUGUGGUGGGAAUGGCUGUGAAGAAAGAGUAUUUUACUGUAUACAGUAGUUAAAGUGGAACGAGGCAAUUUAAGUACAGUAUUGUGAUUUGUAAAAUUUAAUAUAGUAUACAAAAUGUAAUAAUUCACUAGACCGGCAAUUUUAGCUGUCGAUACCUAGAUAAAGAAAUACUGUACAUUCUGAAAUAUUUUGAACAGUGCCACAUGGAAAAAUAUUUGGGAAAUGGCUACCUAUAAAAACACUUGCUAUAGUAUUAUAGUAGGUUUAGAAAAUGUGAACAGUGUGAUACAGUUAUGAAAUGAAAACUAAUGGAAGAUGCUAGUUCAGUGAUUGAAGGACAAAAUGUAGCGAUCAAACAUUUCAGUAAUUUAUGCACGACUAUUGGAACCACUGUGGUACCAUUGCUCUUAAUCUUACUUCAUAUUUUGUGAUGUCAUGACAAAAAUCCUCUGCAGCAACAUUCAGUGGUAAUGGUGGUAUUCCAAGUAUUGCUUUAAAAUCCUUUUUGAAGGGUCAUCUGGUAUGAGUAAUGUCAUGCAAAUUAGUAUAUGUAUGCAAGGGCCAUCUUAUUAUUAUAAUUAUUAUUAUUA